rnacentral:ncRNA from 1 species
CCGACACACUCUGCAAUGGCCUCCGGUCGGUGUUGAUGCAAUGUGAUCUCUGCCCAGUGCUCUGAAUGUCAACGUGAGGAGAUUCAUCAAAGCGCGAAUAAACGGCGGGAGUAACUAUGACUCUCUUGGUGCCCCUUGUUUACGUACCGCCAUACCAGGUAUGGCACUGCAUAGAUUGUUGGCACUGGGCACGUCAUCGCAUCCUGCGUGCGCCGUGGCCUUGCAGCUGCCGCACAUGGUCGACUUGAAAGAUUGACUAGAACGGUCGUUCAUCUUUAAGGGCAAGGUGCUUCGAUCUAGGGGUGCUGUAUCCAGGUUUUGGGCGAGAGAGUGGCACAAGAGUGCAGACGGUGCUGCCCUGAAGGAGUGCUCACGUGUACCGUCUUCGCAGGUGUGGGUUGGAAAAGGUACACGUCCGAUGAAUGGAAAGAGGUUCAUUGAUUUGGUAAAGACGAGGGCAAAUGCGCUUCCUCACAUGACUAGGACUAAAAGGGGUCGGGACGUCUUGACUCGUCGGGCCGGUUGUGACUCCGCGGAGUCACUGGGACACAUUACGCAAAAUUGCUUCUGCACGCACAGUGCCAGAAUCAAACGACAUGAUAGUUUAGUGCAGUAUGCUCCUGGUCAUCUGAAAGAAAAGGGAUGGGAGGUGCUGGUAGAACCCGAGUGCCACACCGCAACACAGAAAUAUGUGCCAGACCUCGUUAUUGCAGAGUAGUCAGAUGACUGUGGUAGAUACA